AGACCCGAAACCCGGUGAUCUAGCCAUGGGCAGGUUGAAGGUUGGGUAACACUAACUGGAGGACCGAACCGACUAAUGUUGAAAAAUUAGCGGAUGACCUGUGGCUGGGGGUGAAAGGCCAAUCAAACCGGGAGAUAGCUGGUUCUCCCCGAAAGCUAUUUAGGUAGCGCCUCGUGAAUUCAUCUCCGGGGGUAGAGCACUGUUUCGGCUAGGGGGCCAUCCCGGCUUACCAACCCGAUGCAAACUGCGAAUACCGGAGAAUGUUAUCACGGGAGACACACGGCGGGUGCUAACGUCCGUCGUGAAGAGGGAAACAACCCAGACCGCCAGCUAAGGUCCCAAAGUCAUGGUUAAGUGGGAAACGAUGUGGGAAGGCCCAGACAGCCAGGAUGUUGGCUUAGAAGCAGCCAUCAUUUAAAGAAAGCGUAAUAGCUCACUGGUCGAGUCGGCCUGCGCGGAAGAUGUAACGGGGCUAAACCAUGCACCGAAGCUGCGGCAGCGAACGUAUCACCCAAGACAACUUUACGGAGUUGACGAUUGACGGAGCGAAGCGACGUCAAAGCGUUCAUUAAAGUCGAGUUGGCUUAGGGAUACGUUCGUUGGGUAGGGGAGCGUUCUGUAAGCCUGUGAAGGUGGCCUGUGAGGGUUGCUGGAGGU
rnacentral:rRNA from 1 species